UUACGACAAUAUCACAUUGAAACACCGGUCCUUGUACGAUCCCCGAAGUUAAGCAACGUAGAGCUAGGUCAGUACUUAGAUGUAUGUCCAAUUGAGAAUACCAGGGUG